CCAAUAGCGUAUAUUAAAGUUGUUGCAGUUAAAAAGCUCGUAGUUGAAUUUCGGGAUCAAUAUGUCGGUCGUGCCUUCGGUACGUACUGGUAUCAUUGGUCUCUCCUUUCUGACGAACCAUGAUGUCAUUAAUUUGGUGUUAUGGGGAGUUAGGACUGUUACUUUGAAAAAAUUAGAGUGUUUAAAGCAGGCUUUAGCUUGAAUACAUUAGCAUGGAAUAAUGAAAUAGGACGUUUGAUUCUAUUUUGUUGGUUUCUAGGAUCGACGUAAUGAUUAAUAGGGAUGGUUGGGGGCAUUAGUAUUCAAUUGUCAGAGGUGAAAUUCUUGGAUUUCUUGAAGACUAACUACUGCGAAAGCAUUUGCCAAGGAUGUUUUCAUUAAUCAAGAACGAAAGUUAGGGGAUCGAAGACGAUCAGAUACCGUCGUAGUCUUAACCAUAAACUAUGCCGACUAGGGAUCGGAUGAUGUUAAUUUUUUAAUGACUCAUUCGGCGCCUUACG
rnacentral:rRNA from 1 species